rnacentral:lncRNA from 1 species
GUGCUUAUACUUGAAAUUAUAAAAUAGCCCAACCCUAACCUUGAGAGCAUCAGCCGGCACCUGCAUUGCUCUGCCUCUCCCUCUUCCUCACGAGCUCCCGUGACCGGAGUCGCGCCUCCGGCGACCUCCGACGCCCCUCUUUCUCCGACUAGCCACCUCCUGCAGUCGCACACCACAAACCCUAUCCUCCCUCUCUCACAACCACAUACCCCUCCCCUGUUUUUUUUUUACUGGCGACCAGUUGCAGAAGACAACCACCACCGUCAGGUGGUGGUGGUGAGCGACGACGGCUCAAGCGAGAGAGAACAGAGAUGGAGCAAGGUCGGUGCGGUGACGGACAUAGAGAGUGAGGAGAGAGAAGGAGAAGCUCGGGCGGUUCGUGGUGGUCCGACUCAGCUCCGACGACGGCCGUGGAGCAGCGGUGGUGCUGAUGCGCAGGUUUCGGGUCUUGUGGGUCCAAUUUCGGAUCGCUUCAGGUCAGGUACGAGUAUGUUGUAUUCGAUAAACCUGGUUCGGGUCAAGCCACCGUCUUUCCGACAGUGGUGGUGGUCGCGUUCAGCGGUGGCGACGCUCAGCGGCGACACACAGCAACAACGACAAUAGCAGAGCCGUUUUCCGGCAUCGGAGGUUUGUUUUCGUUUGGGUUUUAUUUCCAGUUUUGGCCAAUGAUCUAGUUGGGUUCGUUUCGGGUACUGCCGGGUCGGUUGCUUGUUCCGUUGCUAUCGAUACCAGGAUAUCCAUUUCGUUCAUUCGGUUUCUCAACUUUUACUCGUGCGUUAUCUUCAAGGAAUCGCAAACGCAACCAAUAUUGUUUAUGCAUGAUUGUGACAGAUGAAUCCAGUAGGAUUGCCUAGAAACGCAUUUAAACUUUAUUACUCGUUGUAUUGUAAUUUACUUUCAAUCCUGUUGUAUUCUGGUUCCAAUACUUGUAAGAAUUCAUUAUUAAUGAAAUGAAAUAUAAUUAUUUGAAUACUUAUUGU